AGACGAACCGUGCGAACGUUGUUCGGAAUCACUGGGCUUAAAGGGCGCGUAGGCGGGCUGCCAAGUCCGGGGUGAAAGCUUUCGGCUUAACCGGAAAAGUGCCUUGGAUACUGGCAGUCUCGAGCGAGGUAGGGGCAUGUGGAACUUCCGGUGGAGCGGUGAAAUGCGUUGAUAUCGGAAGGAACGCCGGUGGCGAAAGCGACGUGCUGGACCUCUUCUGACGCUGAGGCGCGAAAGCCAGGGGAGCGAACGGGA
rnacentral:rRNA from 1 species